rnacentral:rRNA from 1 species
UACGGAGGGUGCGAACGUUAAUCGGAAUCACUGGGCGUAAAGCGCGCGUAGGCGGUCUGUUAAGUGGGAUGUGAAAUCCCCGGGCUUAACCUGGGAAUGGCAUUUGGGACUGCAAGGCUUGAGUGCGGCAGAGGAGACUGGAAUUCCCGGUGUAGCAGUGAAAUGCGUAGAUAUCGGGAGGAAUACCGAUGGCGAAGGCAGGUCUCUGGGCUGACACUGACGCUCAUGCACGAAAGCGUGGGGAGCAAACAGG